rnacentral:pre_miRNA from 1 species
GUGUGGUUGGUGUUCAGCACCAAGGAAAGGUGUGUUUACCUGUUUGUGAAUGGUUUUCAGCACAAGGGACAGGUGUGUUAACCU